GCCGCGGGCAGGUGCGCGGCAGCGGGGCGCGGGUGCUCCAGGCCUCCUCGAUGCCCGGCCGCUGCUCGGCGACCGUCCCCGUCCCCAUCCCCGCAAGAGACUGACUUGUGUAGCUGCUUCGAGAGCGUCCGCUUCGGGGAUGACAUUUCAGGACGCGGGACAGCGACUGGCUCAGGGGAAGGACAGGGAGACAAUGUGCCGCAGGCCCAAGGCCAGGCUGGGGCGCGAUGUGGCUGCACCUGCCAACCCGAGGUCACAGCUGGCGGGCCCGGACACUGGGGGCCGUGGCUCACCUGUCACCUGCUCACCUGUCACCUGCCUGCCCACACUCCCGGAAGAGUCCCAGCGGCCCUGAAGGUGCUAGAAGCUUUGAAGGCCACGGGGCCUUAGCGGAGUGGCUGCAUGUGCUUCUCCCAGCCCCGGGGCCCCGACGACCCCCUCGUGUCCCGUGGAAGUCAUCGCAGAACCAAUCCUGAGAACCACAAAGAGCCCUUGGGGCUGAAAACUUCUUUUGAUCGAGUGAAUUACUGCUGCCUUGAAUUUGCUUUCUUUGCAAUAAAUGAAGGAAUGGAUUAGAUAUCCCAUCUUUUAAGUAGCCAUCAAAAAUCCUGGUAGGAUUCCCAUUUUUUUUUCUGAGCAUUAAGCCUUUAAAAUUGGAAAUGCUUAAGUGUUUAGGGGUUUUAGUCAUAUUUUUUUUCUUGGAAAAUAUCAAAAUGAAGUUGUCAGAGGUCCCUAAAAUCACUGCCUAGCAAAUAAUCCUCCAAGGCUGUCAGGGUCUAAGGGGGCUUUUAUUCAGCCUAGGGAGUUAUCUUGUUGACAAGGAGCUUACCAAACACUGAAUAGAAGAAAACCCAUUUAUGAGAAAUGGGCCAGUUGGUGCAUCAAAUCAGCGGUUAAUCUAAACCCGGCAGAGAAAC
rnacentral:lncRNA from 1 species